rnacentral:rRNA from 1 species
CUGGUUGAUCCUGCCAGUAACAUAUGCUUGUCUCAAAGACUAAGCCAUGCAUGCCUAAGUAUAAACUGAUUUAUAGUGAGACUGCGUACAGCUCAUUAUAUCAGCAAUUAUUUAUUUGAUGGUCCUUACCACUUGGAUAACCGUGGUAAUUCUAGAGCUAAUACAUGCGCAAAGGCCCGACUCUUGCGGGAAGGGCUGUAUUUAUUAGAUUCAAAACCAACGCGAGCUCUUCGGGGUUCGGUCUGUUGGUGAUUCAUAAUAACUGAUCGGAUCGCAUAGCUUUAUGCUGGCGACAGUUCAUUCAAAUUUCUGCCCUAUCAGCUUGUCGGUAGGAUAAAGGCCUACGGAGGCUAUCACGGGUAACGGAGAAUUAGGGUUCGAUUCCGGAGAGGGAGCCUGAGAAACGGCUACCACAUCCAAGGAAGGCAGCAGGCGCGCAAAUUACCCACUCCUGACACAGGGAGGUAGUGACAAGAAAUAACAAUACCGGGCCUUUCCAGGUCUGGUAAUUGGAAUGAGUACAAUUUAAAUCCCUUAACGAGGAUCCACUGGAGGGCAAGUCUGGU